rnacentral:lncRNA from 1 species
UCGAACAAUGUCUCCAACGUUUCACAGCCGCAACCAAUACUCCCCUCGUGGCCUCACAACAACCGAAUCAACCGACCUUGCGAAUGCAGUCAUGAUGAGUUUCCUCUACCCGGUGAUUGGGAUGUUUGGGGACUUGGUCUACACCAGGAUAUUCGGAACCUUCACAAACACAAUAGCUCAGCCUUAUCAAAGCCAGAGGAUGAUGCAGCGUGAGAAAUCUCUUAACCGGGUAUCCAUAUUCUUCUUCUUCUGCAUCUUCCUUUGCCUCCUUCUCUUCUAGCUCUCUCUCUCUCUCUCUCUCUCAUUCUCCCUCCCACUUGUAUAGUUUUUGAAAUGUAUAUAGACUGUAAACGUUAUGGUAUAACAAGUACAGACAUUAUUGUUCCGAGUUAGGUCUCAAAUUGCAAGGCCAUUUGCUCUCUGUGUGUUGCAUAUCUAUAGACAUAUACGUGCUUGUAUCUUAACUUCAUGAACCAUAUAUAAACACUUCAUCGUCUAUUCUAUAAUUUGUUGUGUUGUCUGUCUUAUAUCAGAUAAAUUAUAUUUCGAAUAGAGUUUAAAUGUGAAGAGAAGAAGUGAGUUGUAUUGCAUUACGGCAUGAAACAUAUUACAUAGAUCGCCUCUGAGUUCCAGCGGCAAACGUAUUUAGCCUAUCUGCAUUGUCUUUGAGUCAGUUUAGAUGGCGAAACAAGUCUGCUAACAAGCCUACGUAGCCGGUUAGCUCCAGGACCAGGAUUGAUCUUUGAUGGAUCACCAACCUCUGAGCACUUCGGUUUGCCUGCACACCAACCACCAGGUGUAAAGCUCCCAUUACCUCUACCGAGCAGCUCAGUGUCAAUCUUGUCCAAGGCAAGAUCAUUGUGUAUGAACUUGCGGGCAAACACAGCUCCGCUUGCAAUCAUCUUCUCUGUAUCACUGAUGUUGAGCGUCUUAGGAUGCUGUUGUGGACCGCUAACGAAAGUGGCUGUUUUGAUUGCAACAUCUGCCUAGACACAGCCCAUGAUCCGGUUGUCACACUAUGCGGACACCUUUUCUGCUGGCCUUGCAUUUACAAAUGGUUACACGUUCAGCUAUCAUCCGUCUCAAUCGAUCAGCACCACAACAACUGCCCUGUCUGCAAAUCCAACAUCGCCGUCACCUCACUGGUUCCUCUCUACGGAAGAGGCAUGUCUUCCGGGUUUGUCUCGAAGAAACAAGACGCAGUAAUACCACGGAGACCUGCUCCACCAAUCACUUCAGGAUCAUCUCUGAACCCAAGGUUGCAACAUCAUCGAACAAUGUCUCCAACGUUUCACAGCCGCAACCAAUACUCCCCUCGUGGCCUCACAACAACCGAAUCAACCGACCUUGCGAAUGCAGUCAUGAUGAGUUUCCUCUACCCGGUGAUUGGGAUGUUUGGGGACUUGGUCUACACCAGGAUAUUCGGAACCUUCACAAACGCAAUAGCUCAGCCUUAUCAAAGCCAGAGGAUGAUGCAGCGUGAGAAGUCUCUUAACCGGGUAUCCAUAUUCUUCUUCUUCUGCAUCUUCCUUUGCCUCCUUCUCUUCUAGCUCUCUCUCUCUCUCUCUCUCUC